rnacentral:rRNA from 1 species
UACGUAGGGGGCAAGCGUUGUCCGGAUUUAUUGGGCGUAAAGAGCGUGUAGGCGGCCAGGGAGGUCCGUUGUGAAAACUCGAGGCUCAACCUCGAGACGCCGAUGGAAACCCCCUGGCUAGAGUCCGGAAGAGGAGAGUGGAAUUCCUGGUGUAGCGAUGAAAUGCGCAGAUAUCAGGAAGAACACCCGUGGCUAAGGCGGCUCUCUAGUACGGUACUGACGCUGAGACGCGAAAGCGUGGGGAGCGAACAGG